CUGGAUGCCUAGGCGACGCCCGAACCCGACCCUCGGUCGCGGGUACCGGGACCGCUGGGGAAGCGCAGGGGCUGAUGUCGGCACAGUCUCCUUUCCUCUAGCCCCUGCUCGUUGCUUUGGCUCUGGACACAGGGAAGCCACGGUGGCGCGGCGACACAGCCUCACUGAGGUUAGCUUGUCCCCGGCCCCCAGCACCUGGCCUGGCGCCUGCAAUGCAGUGCCUACUGGGGGAAUGAAUCAGAACCCGAGGCUCCCUUCAAGGUCCUCCCGCCCUGUACCCACCUCCUCUCUACCUGCCUGCGGUGAUUUCGAAGCUCUCGCCACGAUAAACUAUUUCCAAGCACACUCAGUCCUGUCCUCGCCAGGGCCUCAACUCACAGCCAAUCACUGACUCACUCCAUUCAUUCAUUCCACAAUUUUUAUCGAGCCCCUCCAUCUGCCUUGGCCGGAGAACACGAUGGGCAAAGCCCGGAUCUUGGAACUACUUCUAGAGAGGAAGACAGACAUUACACACGCAAAACAGAGAAAGCCCGGUACACAUUGCUAUGUGCGCUUAGAGGGAAUCAGUCUGCUGACAGAGGAAAAAAGGCAGGUCCCCGAGCUUCCAUGGCAGGCGGACUGGGAAGGCCUCUCCGAGGCAUUGCAAGUCAGCGGAGACCCGAGGACUGACUAGGAGUUACUCUAGCGUGAAGCCGAGUAAUAGAGAAUAGCAAGUGGAAAGGUUCCCAGAGUGCCUGAAUUGAGCAAGGGGAAAGAGAGGGAUGCAGGGCCUGGAUCGAGGUCUGGGCAGAACAUGAAGAGGAGUUCGGAUUUUAUUCUACGUGAGCUGGGAAAACACUGAAGUGUGCUAAGCAGGGAAGUGACCUGAUCUGGGGGCUCCCGGCUUUUCUCUGUCUGCAGUGUCCAUGCUCGCAUCUCAGCCUGCCGGAUUCCUACCCUCCUGCCAAGACUAGCACAAAUGCAGUCUCCUCGCUGAAAUCUCUGUGGUUCCUGCCACCUGUAACCCCUCCUUUAGCAUUUCGUCACCUGUAGAGCGUUUGUCACUGUUCAUCUGGUAUUAAAGAUUCCACAUUCUCAUCCAUUUCAUCUUUGCAUCCCCCACGAGGCUAAGUGCAGGGCUUGGUACUGUGUAGAUACUGCUUAUGAAUGUGUCUUGUCUUGUCCUUUUUGUCUGUUUCCAUCAUCUGAGGAUCCUUCCUCUGGGGGGUUGACAUGCCUUAUUUCUAAAAUGGCCGACCGGAUGCAGGGCAGAGCCAGAUUGCACCAGGACCCUGCCAUCGAUAUAGUCCCCCUCACCCACCCCCGGUGUUUUGAGGAUUAAAUAAAUUAAUGAAUUAAACGAGUUAGUAGUUAUAAAGUGUUAGCACCUAUUAAGCAUUAUAAAAAUAAAUUUGAAAAUGACCAGCAAUAAUUAUCUUUCAAAUAUUUAUUUAUUGCAUUGGAAACAAGCUUUUCUAUUGGUGGUUGUUAGGGAGACUCUGCAGCUUGUCAUUGUCAUCUUGCCGGCUUUUAAGUAUGUGUUCCUACUUUUUAAAAGUCAGUGCACCAACAAAAUUCUUUCCAUACUGUCAUCAAGAACUAUUGCUGAGGCCGGGCGCAGUGGCUCACCCCUGUAAUCCCAGCACUUUGGGAGGCCAGGCGGACGGAUCACUUAAGGUCAGGAGUUCGAGCCCAGCCUGGCCAAGGUGGUGAAACCCCGUCUCUACUAAAAAUACAAAAAUUAGCUGGGCGUGGUGGCAUACACCUGUAGUUCCAGCUACCUGGGAGGCUGAGGCAGGAGAAUCGCUUGAACCCAAGAGGCAGAGGCUGCAGUGAGCUGAGAUUGCACCACUGCACUCCAGCCUGGGCCACAGAGUGAGAUUCUGUCUCAGACAAACAAACAAAAAGAACUAUUGCUGAAACUUAAUAGGGCCGAAGGCUGACCACUUUUUAUCAUGAGCUUGAAUGAGAUCGAUGAUUGCAACAAGUAUUCCUUGAGUGAUAAUUACAUGCAUAGUGUUAUUCCAGAUGUUGUGUGAAUGCUUACAAAAGAGGAAUAGAUGAAUAUUGCCACUGUAGUAACUUGGAUUAGAAUAAGUGUUCUAGUUUUAUAAUUUUUAUUUUAAUUUUUAAAAUCUUUAAAGUUCCGGGAUACACAUGUAGGAUGUUCAGGUUUGUUACAUAGGUAAAGGUGUGCCUUGGUGGUUUGCUGCACCUAUCAGCCCAUCACUUAGGUAUUAAGCCCAGCAUGCAUUAGCUAUUUUUCCUGAUGCCCUCCCUCCCCUGCCCUCACCACCACGGGCCCCAUUGUGUGUUGGUUCCCUCCCUGUGUCCUUGUGUUCUCAUUGUUCAGCUCCCACUUAUAAGUGAGAACAACUGGUGUUUGGUUUUCUGUUCCUGCAUUAGUUUUAUAAUUUUUAAAACCAGAUCUUUAGUGCCUAUACAACCAUCUCCGCUUCUGCGUUCCUGACCUAGCGUUUACUCACAGCUUCCCAGGGCUCAUUGCCAUCCCACACCUCUCUUUUCUUAGAUAGGAUCUUGGCUGCUCACUACAUUCCUCUACUAUCUAUCUUCCCCUUCCCCCAUAAGCCCUGGGGAUAAAGCCAUUAUAAUAUCUAAUGUUACAUGAUACUUGACAUCUUAUAGAAUAGUUCAACUACAGGAUUUUGUUUAGAUCUUGACAAUACUCCUGGAAGGAGAGAGGGCAGAUGUUAUGUAUUUCCCCCAUUUUAUAUAUAAGGGAAGGUGAAACAAGCGGCACUAAGUGAUAUGCUGGAGGUCAUGUGACUGGUGAGUGUCAGACUCAGGCCUGCCUACCUAUACAACAUGCUUUCUGCCACAUCUCCCUCCACACAUGAAAAAACAUGUUUCAAUAGCUAUACUCAUGGAAGAGGGAAGUAAAACGAAUAAAUAUUAUGCAAUAAAUCUAUAUCUCAAUUUUAUUUGAUUUUUUAAAGUUAACCUGAAUUUCUUAUGAUGAUGUUAACAUCACUUUGGGCAUCUAGAAUCAUACACUUUGACAUCACACAGGCUAUGAUUUAAAUCUGCCACUAAUAAAUGGCACAUUAAUAAACUGUGUGAUAUCAGACAGCAUCCUUAGUCUUUCAAAAAUGGAGUUAUAUAUUAUCUGAAAAAUGAGGAUGACAAUUCCUAUGUCAUGUAACUGUGAUGAUUAAAUGCAUUUCUGGUACAUAGAGGUUCACAAAGGGCUGGUUAUUU
rnacentral:lncRNA from 1 species